UACGGGGGGAGCAAGCGUUGUUCGGAUUUCCUGGGCGUAAAGGGCGCGUAGGCUGUCAGUGCAAGUCAGUUGUGAAAUCUCCGGGCUUAACUCGGAAAGGUCAACUGAUACUGCUCGACUAGAGUGCGGAAGGGGCAACUGGAAUUCUUGGUGGAGCGGUGAAAUGCGUUGAGAUCGGAAGGAACGCCCGUGGCGAAAGCGAGGUCCUGGACGUCUGCUGACGCUGAGACGCGAAAGCCAGGGGAGCGAACGGG
rnacentral:rRNA from 1 species